rnacentral:rRNA from 1 species
UUGAACGCUGGCGGCAGGCCUAACACAUGCAAGUCGAACGGUAACAGGAAGCAGCUUGCUGUUUUGCUGACGAGUGGCGGACGGGUGAGUAAUGUCUGGGAAACUGCCUGAUGGAGGGGGAUAACUACUGGAAACGGUAGCUAAUACCGCAUAACGUCGCAAGACCAAAGAGGGGGACCUUAGGGCCUCUUGCCAUCGGAUGUGCCCAGAUGGGAUUAGCUAGUAGGUGGGGUAACGGCUCACCUAGGCGACGAUCCCUAGCUGGUCUGAGAGGAUGACCAGCCACACUGGAUCUGAGACACGGUCCAGACUCCUACGGGAGGCAGCAGUGGGGAAUAUUGCACAAUGGGCGCAAGCCUGAUGCAGCCAUGCCGCGUGUAUGAAGAAGGCCUUCGGGUUGUAAAGUACUUUCAGCGGGGAGGAAGGGAGUAAAGUUAAUACCUUUGCUCAUUGACGUUACCCGCAGAAGAAGCACCGGCUAACUCCGUGCCAGCAGCCGCGGUAAUACGGAGGGUGCAAGCGUUAAUCGGAAUUACUGGGCGUAAAGCGCACGCAGGCGGUUUGUUAAGUCAGAUGUGAAAUCCCCGGGCUCAACCUGGGAACUGCAUCUGAUACUGGCAAGCUUGAGUCUCGUAGAGGGGGGUAGAAUUCCAGGUGUAGCGGUGAAAUGCGUAGAGAUCUGGAGGAAUACCGGUGGCGAAGGCGGCCCCCUGGACGAAGACUGACGCUCAGGUGCGAAAGCGUGGGGAGCAAACAGGAUUAGAUACCCUGGUAGUCCACGCCGUAAACGAUGUCGACUUGGAGGUUGUGCCCUUGAGGCGUGGCUUCCGGAGCUAACGCGUUAAGUCGACCGCCUGGGGAGUACGGCCGCAAGGUUAAAACUCAAAUGAAUUGACGGGGGCCCGCACAAGCGGUGGAGCAUGUGGUUUAAUUCGAUGCAACGCGAAGAACCUUACCUGGUCUUGACAUCCACGGAAGUUUUCAGAGAUGAGAAUGUGCCUUCGGGAACCGUGAGACAGGUGCUGCAUGGCUGUCGUCAGCUCGUGUUGUGAAAUGUUGGGUUAAGUCCCGCAACGAGCGCAACCCUUAUCCUUUGUUGCCAGCGGUCCGGCCGGGAACUCAAAGGAGACUGCCAGUGAUAAACUGGAGGAAGGUGGGGAUGACGUCAAGUCAUCAUGGCCCUUACGACCAGGGCUACACACGUGCUACAAUGGCGCAUACAAAGAGAAGCGACCUCGCGAGAGCAAGCGGACCUCAUAAAGUGCGUCGUAGUCCGGAUUGGAGUCUGCAACUCGACUCCAUGAAGUCGGAAUCGCUAGUAAUCGUGGAUCAGAAUGCCACGGUGAAUACGUUCCCGGGCCUUGUACACACCGCCCGUCACACCAUGGGAGUGGGUUGCAAAAGAAGUAGGUAGCUUAACCUUCGGGAGGGCGCUUACCACUUUGUGAUUCAUGACUGGGGUG